GUGUUUAGUGUCCAGGUGUGGAGUGGAGCUUCUUCUUCUUCUGCUGUGUUUGCAGAAACUAAGUCCAUUUGUGAAAUUCACACUGGAAUUCACUGAGAGCCAAGUGCCUGAUUUUGUACACCUGUGGCCACGGAAGUGAUUUGAACACCUGAAUUCAGUGAUUUGGAUGGUGAGUGAAUAUAUUUGGCAGUUUAGUGUAUAUCAUAAACUCAGUUCAGUUUUAUUUAUAUAGCAAGUUGCUCAUAACUACCAGCUCUAAUUAUCAAUAUUAAUUCAGCAUUAUUAACUCUUAGAACAAAAACUUCUUUGUUGGAACCUAAUUUGUCUUCAAAGCAGUUGUGUGUGUUUCACACAGUCACUGAAAUGGCAGCUCAGGUACUUUUAUGAUCUUGACUCUUUGACCUGGACUCAGUCUGACCAGUCGAACGGCAUAUUUUUAAAGUGAAAACAUGAAGGAAAAGAAACUGUGAAGUGUGUAAAAGUCAGAUUAGUGAAGAUGUGAGUCCAGACGACGUGUGUGCAGGAUCAGCUGAGCUCUGCAGGAGACAUGGAGGUUCAAAGGAGGAGAGCCAACAACCAUCAGUCACAACACACACACCAAACACACAUUUUUACAUUCGGUGUCACUUUGACCUUCUUCAUGAUGUCAUCAUCAGCAUGUUUUUAUUAUCAAAUUUCACACUCAGCUGAUUAAAAACAGAAAAUACUCAAAGAUUUACUUUAACAUUCAGUGACUCGUCCUGACAUUAAAUCACAGGAGGAUCAGCAGGUGGAGUCCCGCCUCCUUCCAGGAAUCAGCUCACCUGUGUGUCAGUGUUUGGUGUCCAGGUGUGGAGUGGAGCUUCUUCUUCUUCUGCUCUGUUUGCAGAAACUGUGAAGGUAGAAAGUGUGUGUGAGCUGAUGUGAAUUCAGCAGCAUGGAUCAGUG